rnacentral:rRNA from 1 species
GAUGAACGCUGACAGAAUGCUUAACACAUGCAAGUCAAACUGCAUUUGGGUUUUUAACUUAGGUUUGGGUGGCGGACGGGUGAGUAACGCGUAAAGAACUUGCCUCACAGCUAGGGACAACAUUUGGAAACGACUGCUAAUAACUAAUAUUAUGAUACUAGGGCAUCCUAUAAUCAUGAAAGCUAUACGCGCUGUGAGAGAGCUUUGCGUCCCAGUAGCUAGUUGGAGAGGUAACGGCACACGAAGGCGAGGAUGGGUAGCCGGUCUGAGAGGGAGAUCGGCCACAGAGGCACAGGGAAACGGCCCGUACGCCAUCGGGAGGCAGGAGUGGGGAAUAUAUGAAGAAGUACCGAGAGUGUGAUGCAGCAAUUCGGUGUGCACGAUGAAGUUUUUCGGAAUGUAAAGUGCGUUCAGUUGGGAAGAAACAAAUGACGGUACCAACAGAAGAAGUGACGGCUAAAUACGUG